rnacentral:lncRNA from 1 species
AAUUUUUGAGUCAGUGAGUUAUGCAGAUUGAUGUAGAAUUACUAUUUUUAUUUUACACCAUUGUUAUUCAUUAUUUUUUACAGGUGUAAUUAUUAAAGAAAAUAUGUCUUCGUUAAUUAUUAUAUAUUAUAUUGAAUUGAGUCAGUUGAAAAAUCGUGAGUGGAUAUCAUCAUUAUGUUUUGUAAAAUUGGGAUAUUAACCCACUCAGGAAGAGGAACGAUCAGGAUUGCACGUAGGAACGCCCUCAAGACUUUCUCCAUAAGUCAACAUAGUUACUCUUAUUGGAAAUGGACGAUGGGUAACUACUUCAGAGUCGUCACUCGACAGAAGGAUGAAAGAUAUUAAAUUUUACUCCUUGCUCUCUACUCAGUCUGGGGUCAGACAUUUCCUCAUAGAUGGGAUAGACGAUGCGUUCAAUAAGAAAGGGAUCUUUGUAGGACUCGUAUCGUUUUUAGAAGCGUAUAAAUUCAGACAAGACUCUGGCACUUUGGAUUUUAUAAAUAACAUAAUAUUAAUAUAGCUCUUGCUCCUCACUGAUUCAAUUAUAAUAACCUUUAUAGGAUGAUCAUCACUAAUAUAAUCAAUCGUCAGAAGAAAUAAAGAAGGAAGAGAAGGAUCCCUGUCAGUCCCUGGCAUGCUUUGGUCAUUAUAUGAACUCUCAAACUAUUAACUAAUCAUUCGAUUCAAUGACUACGUGUUUGAUAUAUUCAUCUCUCAAGGAUCGCCUUAAGCAUAGACUUCACUUCUGCUUUAUGAUCAUCAUAAUAUUCAAUGCUUAUUUAAUAAAUAUUGAGCAUGGAUGCUCAAAGUUCUUCACUUUUAGUUGACCCCUGGGUAAUGUAAGACACCCUAAUAUACCCUUUUCAUUCUAGAUAUACUUUGUUUUGACAUGUGAAAGAAAAUGACAUCAACUUUCAGCUUUAUUGCAUUCAAGCUAAUUCUGCCACCCAUAUGAAGAAGGUAUGUAUUUAUUAUUUUACCUUUUAUUUAAGUAGAUAAUUUUUCUUAUUUGUACUAUAUUCGUUAAUAACAUUUGUUGUGCAAGCAAAUAGAAUAGAACCUGGGUAACUA